UUAAAGUCGAUGAACAAAAUAGUACUUUCAGAAGGUACACUACAGAGAGCCGGUGGCGGUGAGAACCGGUGUGGAGAGCUGGAACGAAUGGGUUUGGGAGAUGCAUUGGUGAACAUUUUAUGGUUAAGUAAGUAGCUGAUGACGUGACCUCACGUUACAGGGGCAGGGUAUUGCGCAGGCAGUAUCAGGAAUGAGUCAGAUAACAGGUGGCAUAUCCGGUUUCGGGUAUGCUUUUUUUAUUUUAUCGGAAAUGACAGCAUUUCUAUAAUAUAAAAAUAAAAGCCAGACUAUCCGUGACUUUUAUUUUCCUAUAUUUGUAACAGGGAAAAUGAAAACACAUAAUCCGGUAUCUGAGAAAACAGGGUGGCACCACGAUAAUUCGUCCCUUAU
rnacentral:ncRNA from 1 species